UUUUUUUUUCAAGUAGGCUCCACACCCAACAUGGGGCCUGGAACUCACGACUCUGAGAUCAAGAGGUGCAUGCUCUACUGACUGAGCCUGUCAGGAGCCCCUAAAUCUCUGUUUUAAAGUCAUUUAAAACAACUCUUCUCUGUUCAAGUUGAUGUCUGCAACUUGAAGUACAGUUAAGUUCACUUGCUUAAGUUUAUUUUCUACAUUUAGAGACUGAGAAGCCUGGUGAGCCUCCCAAAUGUUGAGAACUGCAGAUGAUUUGGUUUGGUCAGAUCACCCACAGUCCCCUAGCAUAGGACUUCUCAGCCUUGACUUUGUAGCAGAACUCAAUCAGACACUUAAUAGGGCUUGUUAAAGAACACUGGGCUCGGGACACCUGGGUGGCUCAGCAGUUGGGUGCCUUUCUUUGGUCCAGGGCAUGGAUCCUGGAGUCCUGGAAUCGAGUCCCACAUUGAGCUCCCUGCAUGGAGCCUGCUUCUCUUUCUGCCUGUGUCUCUGCCUCUCUGUGUCUCAUGAGUAAAUAAAUAAAAUCUUUAAAAAAAAGCCCUGGGGGGAUCCCUGGGUGGCGCAGCGGUUUGGCGCCUGCCUUUGGCCCAGGGCGCGAUCCUGGAGACCCGGGAUCGAAUCCCACAUCGGGCUCCCGGUGCAUGGAGCCUGCUUCUCCCUCUGCCUGUGUCUCUGCGCCUCUCUCUCUCUCUGUGACUAUCAUAAAUAAAUAAAAAUUUUAAAAAAAUUAAAAAAUUAAAAAAAAAUAAAAAAAGCACUGGGCUCUACCCUUGCAUUUUGUGAUUCUGCUGGUUUAGGGUUGGGCCCUCAGAUUUAUAUAUCUAAAUUUCUAGUGAUGCUGCUGAUCCAGGAACCCCACUUUGAAAACUGCUGUUAUAGCAUAGCCAUGAGGCAGUUAACUGGCUCUCUCAAUAUGUGACUGUGGACAACUUAUUUCCCUUGAGCCUGUUUCCUCACUGGUAAAUAGGUGUAAUAAUCUCUGCCUCAUAGGGUUAGGAGGACAAUAUGCGGUAAUGCAGGUGAAGCAUUUAGCAGGGUGCCUGAAACAUAAUUGGUAUUCAAUAUGCGAUGUUUACUGAAGCUACCAACAGAGGACUAAUCAUGAUGCUAAUAGUUUAUACUUGUAUUUGGAAUGUACUUACCUACUUAUCUGUCAGGUAUACAAUUUGUAAUGUUUUCAUAGGGUAACUCAUUUGCUCCUCCUUAACUGACUCCAUUUUGCAUUCAAGGAAACCAAAGCAUGGAAAGUAUGAAGUAAGGGCACACAGCUAAGGUAGUGAAGCUCUGCAUCCGAGUUAGGUUGGGCCUGAGCCCACACUCUUUCCCCGGACACUGUCUUGCCAUGGGGCCCACUCUGUGGUGUUAGGGCUAUUUGAGCAGGGACCGCAGCUCAUGUAUUCAUCAAACAUUCUCCAAGAGUCCUGUUCUGUGACAAGUCUGGUAAUGAGGCUGGGAUGCAGGGAUCAAUAAGACCUCCUUCUUCUCCAUGAGAUUACAACCUUGUGCCCCAUAGGUUCUAACUGCAUGAUUGGAAUGUGAAAACGUAUUCUCUGAAACACGGAUGCUUGUAUUAGAUUGAUUGGAAAGUUUGUUUAAAUUGAAGAUUCCCAGGCACACUUGGGUGGCUCAAUUGGCUAAGUGACUGAAUCUUAAUCUCAGCUCAGGUCUUUAUCUCAUGGUUGUGAGUUCAAGCUCUGCAUUGGGCUCCACACUGGGCAUGGAGACUACUUAAAAAUUGUGGGGUUGCCUGGAUGGCUCAGUUAGUUGAGCAUCUGUCUUUGACUCAGGUCAUGAUCCCAGGGUCCUGGGAUCAAGCCCUGCAUCAGGCUCCCUGCUUGGUGGGCAGCCUGCUUCUCUCUCUCCUUCUGCUGCUCCCCCUAGCUUGUGCUCUCUCUCUCUCUCUUUCUCCUCUCUCUCUCUCUGUCAAAUAAAUAAGUAAAAUCUUUUUAAAAAAAUUGCAGAUUUCUGAACUCCACCCCCAGGCAGCUAAUCAGAGCCCUGGGGGUGGGGCCCAAGAGCCUGCACUUUACCAGGCUCUCAGGGUGCCUCUGAUAUACACUGACAUUAACCAGAGGCCAAUAACACCCCUACUGGAGGUUGCCUGUCUCAUUCAGAAUUUAGUGGGAUGAAAAUAGUACUACUGUAGUAAAAAAAAAAAAAAAAAAAAAAAA
rnacentral:lncRNA from 1 species